rnacentral:rRNA from 1 species
ACUCUAGACGAACUGCCGUUGACAAAACGGAGGAAGGUGGGGAGUGACGUCAAAUCAUCAUGCCCCUUAUGUUCUGGGCUACACACGUGCUACAAUGGCCGGUACAGACGGAGGCGAAGCCGCGAGGCGGAGCAAAUCCGAAAAAGCCGGUACUCAGUUCGGAUUGCAGGCUGCAAUUCGCCUGCAUGAAGUCGGAAUCGCUAGUAAUCGCAGGUCAGCAUACUGCGGUGAAUACGUUCCCGGGCCCU